rnacentral:rRNA from 1 species
CCUACGGGAGGCAGCAGUAGGGAAUCUUUCACAAUGGGCGAAAGCCUGGAGGAGCAACGCCGCGUGCAGGAUGAAGGCCCUCGGGUUGUAAACUGCUUUUAUAAGCGAGAAAUAUGAAGGCAACUUAUGAAUAAGGAUCGGCUAACUACGAGACAGCAGCAGCGGUGAUACGCAGGAACCGAGGAUUAUCCGGAGUGUCUGGGGGUAAAGAGUUGCGUAGGUGGUGUAAUAAGUAGCAGGUGAAAUCUGGUGGCGCAACCAUUCGGACUGUUAGCUAAACUGUUAAGCUCGAGACCGUGAGGGGUAAGUGGAAUUUGUGGUGUAGGAGUGAAAUCCGUAGAUAUUA